CACGUAGGAGGCGAGCGUUGUCCGGAAUCAUUGGGCGUAAAGAGCGCGCAGGCGGCUUGGCAAGUCGGGUGUGAAAUCCCGGGGCUCAACCCCGUGACUGCAUCCGAUACUGUCAGGCUAGAGGUAGGUAGGGGAGAUCGGAAUUCCUGGUGUAGCGGUGAAAUGCGCAGAUAUCAGGAGGAACACCGGUGGCGAAGGCGGAUCCCUGGGCCUUACCUGACGCUCAGGCGCGAAAGCUAGGGGAGCGAACAGG
rnacentral:rRNA from 1 species